AGAGGAGGAGUGUCCAGUGCUCCUGGCUGGGGAUAAGUAGCCUGGGUUCCUCUAUACCCAGAGCCCUGGACUGGGGAGCCUGGUGUGGUGGUGCUGGUCUUGGAAGCCAGGACGCCCCUUCUUUGGGUGUGGCAAAGUUUGCAAGAUUGCCUAAGUGAAAGUGCACCUCUCUGCCCACUGGGAAAAAAAAAACCAAGGUGUACUGUUAGGUUUAAGGUUGUGAGGCUGUACAAGUUCAACUUCACCACUUAGAUGCCUUGAAAGAAAUCUGUGUCUGUUGCCUCGCGUAGGGAGGGGAGCGAAUAGUCUUGCAGGAAUUUUGUGGGAAGUAUAACGCCGGUUCGCUCGUGAGGGAACAAGCACCAGGCCUGUCGCCUGGUGAGGAAGUAAACAACUAGUCAGGUAGUGAUAACUCCCGCUGUUCAGACUCUUCUCCGUGUGGGCGUGGCUUGUGGAGCUGGUUCUGAGAGCUGGGUGAGCGCCCAGCCUGAUUUGGACUGGAAGGCUGGACCCGCCCUGCCAAUCAAGCUGCCGAGCCAAGUUUUGCCUCCAGCUCGAGAGGCAUGAAUUGAUUCUGAAAACGUUUUCUUUUCUGGGGAGAUGGCUUAGUGGGUAAGAACGCUUGGUGUUCCAGCAUGGGGGAAUUGAAUUAAAAAGCUCUGCAUGGUCCCCACAGGUGCCUGCAAACCCCGUGCAGAGCAGCCACAGGAGGAUUUCUGGGACCUGCUGGCUGUCAGCCUAGCUCCAGGUUCAAUGAGAGGUCCUAUCAGAAGGGAGUAAGGGAUUCUGGACAUCUGAUGUCCUCCUCUGGCCUGGGAGCUGGAGAGGAACCGUUUCUUGCUGAUGAGACUAAAUGCAAAGCACUAAAGGUUCUCAACAUCCUCUUUCAUUUUCUUUUUUACAAAAGUAAUUUAUUAACUAAUCAAGGGGCCAAUCCAGGAAGGAGAAGCACCCAGCGGGAAAUCAGUCGCUGUUGAUUUCUGAGUAUGCAUGGACUUUCAUUGUAUUCCUCUAUUAGAAGCUUUAAAAUUCACGUAGCCGCAAGCCUGCUUCUCAUGACUAUAAACUUCCCACAGCAAUCGCAAACUAUUGACUUGAGAGAAAAUAAAUCAGGAAGAGAACGCCCACCUAAAGGUGUGAGAUUCCCAGUGUAUCCUCUGAGCACUCAUUUUGUCUGAACUAAGACCCAGAGAUGCGUUAGGUCGAACCAUUUGAAACUGCGUCUUGAAGGUUGGAAACAUAGCUGAGCUGUGGCUACUGUAUAGAUUCAGCCUAAGGUUAACCCCAUUGCACAAGGCCAGAAUCUGGGGCUCAGGUCAGUAAGUUCAUGAGAGAGGACAGACAUCGAAGCUGCCUAGAGUGGACAACUGCUCUAGUCCAGUGUUACAGAAGUGCUGUGACUCCUCAUCUGGCUCAUGGCUACCUUGUUCCGUGAGAUGUAGACCUCACAGAACAUUAUUAAAGCUUUUCUUUUUAUUCUAGGAGAAAGCUUUCUGGAAGACCAAACUCAUUGGCUUUGGCGAUAAAAGUUUUAUUUGAAGAAAUGCUAAAAAGCAAGCAAACAAAAAACAAACAACAACGACAACAACAAAACCCUAUAUAAAAUGUGUGUUCUUGGGCAAAUGGCCCAACCUCUCUCUCCUCCUGUGUUAGCAUCUCCCUCACAGUCCCCUGUGAAAGAAUAAAAGUAGUGAGUAUGGAAGCAAUCUGCCCAAUGUAGGCACAUUGUUAAUGUUUGUUUUUUUUGUUUUUGUUUUUUUUUUUUAAAGGACUGGAGAGAUAGCUCAGUGGUAAGAGCACUGACUGCUCUUCCAGUUCAAAUCCCAACAACCCAACUACAUGGCGGUUCACAACCAUCUGUAAUAGGAUCUGAUGCCCUCUUCUGGAGUGUCUGAAGACAGCUACAGUGUAUUCAUAUAAAUAAAUAAAUAAAUCUUUAAAAGAAAAAGGAAAAAAACAUGAAUCAUUUGGUCUAGUAGAUCUCAUCUAGAAACAAAUGGAUAAAAAUAAAACCCUAUUUAAAAAAAAAUAAAAAGGAAAAGAGAAUGCAAAAUUGGGUGCAAGUUAAUGUUCAGGAAAGAAACAACUGUGUCAUUUAAAAUGUUUGCUGCGUUAGAGCUGAAAGCUCAUGCCCACAAUUCCAGCAUGGGGAGGCUGAGACAGGUCUGCUGGCCACAAGUUCAAGGCCAGCAUGGGCUGCAUAGUGAGUUCCAGGUCAGACUGUGCUGCAAGGUGAGAUCCUGCCUCAAAAAAAUAAAUGGGAAAAUAAUUUCUUAAAGUUUGCUGUAGCCAUGUCACAGAGGAAAAUGGCAAUGAUCAUGAUGUCACAUGACAGAGUGCAUUAGGCUGAAAGGCGUUGAGGAUGGGGAGUAUGUGGCUUAGUAACAGACUGUCUGCCCAGCAUGUUUAAGAUGCUGUCAGUCUCUAGCAUCACAGAGCCCCCCCCUUGUCUCAUUCUCUUCCCCCACCCCACCCCCUCUCACACACAACCCUUGCAUCUCUAAAUACCUAAUCUAAAUUCAACAACAGCAAUGUACGUUGUUUUCUGUGCCUUAGACUUUGUUUUCUUAUACUUGGUGUUUUUGUUUCUGUUUGUCUAAGUUUCAAGGACUGGUGCUUUAUGAGUGUUAUGCUGAUACAAUCAAUGUCUAACAGCAACAAAAUUAACCAGGAACCUUCUUGUGCUGAGAUCAACAGUCCUGAGGACACAUAUUCCAAACACACACAUGUCCAUCCAUCACCAGACCUCUUCUGAAUACCAGCUUAUUUGAGCUCAGAGCUUCCUAUGGAAUGCAAUCUGUUGUCACGGGACAAGACAAAGGAAACUGAUUGCAGGCAUAGGCGUCUAAAGAGAAAUGUUAAUAGAAUACACAUUAUCUGUGCCUCCAGAUGGGAAACCAGUGUUAGAGAAGGAAGCCCUUAAAACAAUAUCUCAUGACCAUCACCCCAUGAAGACAAUGAAAUCCAAGGUGAGUCCUCUCUUUACAAAUCCAUCCUGGCACUUUUUUUUCUUUUUAAAAAAAUGUUUGGGAACUGAAAGGAAAAAUGGGUUCCAGCAGAGCCUUUGUGUAUUUUGAGAAGAAUAGCAUUACUCUGCAGACUUGAGUCUAGAGUCAGAACUUCACAAACCACCUUCUCACUGUUUCCACUACAUCGUUGGAGGCUGGCAGCUCUUACGACAGGAGAAUGUCUAACUUCCAUUGGCCUUUUUUUUUUAACUUCAGCAAACAACAUUCUUAAGUUUUUAUAGAAAUUGUGUAUCUGUUGGGCAAAGUAUAUCUAUCUGUGAGGCGUCAAGAAACAGAAAAUAAAAUUGAUUCAUUUCUGCUAAGGAAAUAA